rnacentral:rRNA from 1 species
CACAAGGGAGACUAGUGUUAUUCAUCUUUAUUAGGUUUAAAGGGUACCUAGACGGUAUAUCAAGCCCCAAAAGGGAACGGAUAUACUAGAGUUUUAUGUGAGAGGCAAAUAUAGUACUAUUGGUGUAGAGAUAAAAUUCAUUGAUACCUCUAGGCACGGGUAACGGCGAAGGCAAUCCGUCUAUGUAAAAACUGACGUUGAGGGACGAAGGACUUGGGGAGCGAAUAGG